ensembl:lncRNA
GUUUAUCUUCCUCGCUCUCCUCUUUCUCCUCCUGUUUAUCUUCCUCGCUCUCCUCUUUCUCCUCCUGUUUAUCUUCCUCGCUCUCCUCUUUCUCCUUCUGUUUAUCUUUCUCACUCUCCUCUUUCUCCUUCUGUUUAUCUUUCUCACUCUCCUCUUUGUCCUUCUUGCUCUCCUCUUUCUCAACCCCCCACACGCUUUCUUUCUUGCCCCCCUUCUUCCCCAGGUCUCUCUUCUUCCCAUACAGCCUCUCCUGGAUCCUGUCGUUCAGUCGGCCCAACUCUUCCACCCCCAGAUCCAGCCCAACAGUCUGCAGCAGGCUCUGGAUCUGUCCGUACUUCUGCUCAUCCUCAGGCCUCAUUUUCCUCUUCUCCUCCACCUGUGGAGACAUGGACUUAAGCCUCUCUUUCCUCUUCUCCUCAACAGGUGGAGACAUGGACUUAAGCCUCUCUUUCCUCUUCUCCUCAACAGGUGGAGACUUGGACUUAAGCCUCCCUUUCCUCUUCUCCUCAACAGGUGGAGACUUGGACUUAAGCCUCCCUUUCCUCUUCUCCUCAACAGGUGGAGACUUGGACUUAAGCCUCCCUUUCCUCUUCUCCUCAACAGGUGGAGACUUGGACUUAAGCCUCCCUUUCCUCUUCUCCUCAACAGGUGGAGACUUGGACUUAAGCCUCCCUUUCCUCUUCUCCUCAACAGGUGGAGACUUGGACUUAAGCCUCCCUUUCCUCUUCUCCUCAACAGGUGGAGACUUGGACUUAAGCCUCCCUUUCCUCGUCUCAUCCACCUGUGUAGACUUGGGCUUUUUGUUUUUUGGGCUAUCCAUAGCCUGGAUGAAGCCUAAGCUAAGGCUAUGUUGCCCAAUCUCUCCUCCUCCAUUUUGUAAGAGACUGCGGUGCUGUGGCAGAACGUUACCUGCUUGGGCCACUUGACGCAACAGAUCCCCAAACGGAUUGGGCUGAACCCCGAGUAGUGUGGGCUGACCCCAGAGUAUAUUGAACGAACCUUGUGGGAACUCAUCAAAUCGGGAGCGCCUUUUGCGAGAGGGCACCUUCCUCUCAUUCUUAGAGUUGGUCUCGGGCUGGCCAUGAAGUGGAGGCGGCUGACCUUGUGGCAGCUCCUCUCCCAUAGAGGGUAAAUCCUUGAAAUUGUUGACAAUCUUUGAGAGCCUGUCGAUGUCCACCCCUUUGUUGAGGACAUCGAGGAAGUGCUGGAAGCCCUUGGCUGCUUUGUC